UAUGGUUGUUGGUGCAAAAAUCUGCCUGCACCAGAGAAGCUGGAGUCGAGGGUGUCGCGGUCGUCACUGGGACCUGCAAAAGAAGUCUAAAUCGGAGGUGGGGUUGCUCUGGCAAGACCCUCCGACGCUCAAGUUAGUUCUCUGCCUCAACAAGAAUGGAGUGCUCAAACAAAAAUUUUAGCAGAGUUUCUAGGUAGAAAUGAGGGCUUAAAGAAUAACGUAUCUGGGGUCCCCAUUUUAUAGACGGAAGGGGCAACAGACUGAUAGCAAUGUCUGUAACCGUCUGGCAGUGGGCCGUCGAGAGUCAGGAGGAGUUUGUUGCGGAGAGUAGUGGAGUGGAAUCGUGGCUAUCAUCGGGACAUGCCACGU
rnacentral:lncRNA from 1 species